CGGACAACAUGUCCGUAGGGAUGUAGCCGAAAGGCUGAACCGUAAA
ncrna:unclassified sequences eL15-Euryarchaeota ribosomal protein leader